UUUUUUUUUUUGGAAAAAGAGAUAAAUCAGGCCCGAACAAAUGGGACGGGCAGAGAAGUCUUUCAAAAUCAGAAAUCAUUUAACAAAGAGGAAAAGAGUGAACAAAAAUUAAUUUUUUUUAAAAGCAAUUUCAUUGAAUAAACAGGCUAAAAUGCCCCCCCAAAACAAAUUACAUUACCACCAGUAAACCAACAAGAAUCAGUGUUCAAUAAGUAAUCACGAUUUUCUCCGGUGCAGUGCAAGGUUUUACUUUACGGGGCAUUUACUCCAAUGCCACAUCAUUUAGAAGCGCAUGUGGGACCCGCAUAUACAAAAUGGUGCUUAGAAAAAAAAUUUUUAAGAGCAAAGAAAAAAAAGGCCGCGGGAGAAAAGCUCAGGGAGACCUAAGGCAGUUAUCUCCAGCAGACUGCUCUUGCCAACAGUUGCAGACGCUUCCAUGCGCUUCUCUCCCCCUCACUGCCUAAAGCUCUUUUGGGAAGAAGAGAAUGGGUGAGAGAUGGAGACCAUUUGGUUAGAGAGGCAGCAAAUACAACUACGAAAAUUUCCAAUUUAAUUCCAUGCAAAAUGCAUAUGAAAAUAAGGAUGAGAAAUUUGAUUGGGACAUUUUCUACUCUCUUCCCACUAAUUCUGCAUACUUUUAACUGGCGAUUCAAAUUUGGAUAAAACUAUUCUAAAAUGCAUUAAAAAAAAGUUAAAAAAAAAAUUGUAUCAGAAAUCCUAUAAAAUAAGGGAAAAAGAUUUCUGGCCCUAACUUCAGGAGGAACCAAUUUUAUAUUUCCCUUUUUUCUUUCAAAAAAAAAAAAGGGUCUUAUCCUGCUAUGUUUUGCUUGAAACCACAGAAGAUACCUGCUGCAGUACUUGGGAAUACGAGAGAAAUGGAAAUUUAAACAAUAAAAUAGACAUACAGAUUUCAUUGAAGAAACAUCACCACCGCUGCUCACUUCCCUACCAAAUUCUCGAUCUCUAGGAAACUCCCUUUCA
rnacentral:misc_RNA from 1 species